GCAUCCUGUGUGACUCCAUGAGGACUCUUGGAAGCCUGAGUUUUGCUUUCUCUAGACGAUGCCCCUGUGCCUUUCCCUCGGCUGAUUUUGCAUUGUAUCCUUUGCUGUGGCUGGCUAGGAGGCAGAGAGAUUCUUCAGGAUACCCGCAACACGUCAGUUCAGAUAAGUGUUACAGAAUGAAUUUGUUAUGAUCCAAGAUUCCAGGUUUGAAUACGUUUUGAUUCCUUUAGCCAGAUAAAAUUUUCAUGUCUGCAUUCCUCUCAGAUUCAAAAUGGUACAAUUUGACAUCCUGUUAUCACCUUCCUUAUUUAAUUCUCUUCAUUUUAUCCUUCAAUCUGUAUACUACCACACCUAGAAAAGAGUACUUGAGGCCGGGUGCAGUGGCUCACGCCCGUAAUCCCAACACUUUAGGAGGCCAAGGCAGGUGGAUCACCUGAGGUCAGGAGUUCAAUGGCUGCAUUUCAUUAAAUUCGGCCUGGUCAACAUGGUGAAGCCCCGUCUCUACUAAAAAUACAAAAAAUUAGCUGGACGUGGCAGCACACGCCUGUAAUCCCAGCUACUUGGGAGGCUGAGGCAGAAGAAUCACUUGAACCUGGGAGGCGGAGGCUGCAGUGAGCCAAGAUCAUGCCACUGCACUCCAGCCUGAGCAACAGAGCAAGACUCUGUCUCAAAAAAAAAAAAAAAAAAAAAAUUAAAGAAAAGAGUAACUAAAGACAAUCCAAGAACCUCUGCCCUCACCCUUCAGCCACCUGAGAAAUAAAAUUAUUUUCAAUGUUUCUGUUAUUCCAAAGGAUGAAGUUUGAAAUCACUAUAGGAAAGUCAAAAUAAACAACCCUUCAGGAAUCAGUAGUGCCGUGCAAAAAUGAAAAAAUUUAUCAUACUAAAUUUUUUGUAGGUGAAUGAGAUUUUCCCAUACAGACAAACAAUAAAACAAGUCAAAUGUUGAACAUUUUAUCUCUUUAGUGAGGGGCACAGUAAAACUAAUCUGGUCCCCCAAAAUAAUUUUUAAAAUGAUUCCAACUUUAAGAGUUACUUCUUCACUACCUUUUAACUAUUUUUUCACUAAAAAUAAUAAAAUUUUUAGAAGAAGAAUAAAUAUAAUACCUCUUUAUCUAAAGUUUUCUUUUUAAGAUGGAGGCUCUUCAGUUUUUGCAGCAUUAUAUCACUAACCUUCUCACUCUCUUUGAAAUGUUCAGCAUCAGAAUUGAUGAUGUCCUAAGGGUAAGAGUUUCAGAAGCUAGAUGAAAAAGUUUUUACUAAAGCUAAAAUGAGGCCAAAACUAUGCAUAUGAAACAAAAACAAAUCUCCUUUCAAUAAGUAAGCCAAUCAAAAGAGGUAAAAUCAUAUUGAACUCCAUUCCUCAAUUACUUAUCAGAAGGCAUCCAAUAAAGGGUUAGUACAGAAAGAUUUCAUUUUUUUUAUUUUAAUUUUUUUUUUUUUUUUGAGAUAGAGUUUUGCUCUUUCACCUAGGCUGGAGUGCAGUGGCGCGAUCUCUGCUCACUGCAACCUCUCCCCCCAGGUUCAAGCUAUUCUCCUGCCUCAGCCUCCCAAGUAGAUGGGAUUAUAGGCACCCGCCACCAUGCCCAGCUAAUUUUUGUAUUUUUAGUAGAGAUGGGGUUUCACUAUGUUGGCCAGGCUGGUCUCGAACUCCUGACCUCAGGUGAUCUGCCCGCCUCGGCCUCCCAAAUUGCUGGGAUUACAGGCGUGAGCCACCGCACCUGGCCGUGCAUGUCCCUUAAUUGUUUUUUUCAUUAAAUGCAGUGCUUAUAAGCUCCCAGGACAGAAGCAUCAUUUCCCCAUCUUAAAGAUAAGGAAACUGAAAUGGAAGUUAGGUUACUUGGUCAAGUUACACAGCUAGGAAAUGAUAAGCCAGCAUCUGAACUCAUCUGACAGCAACUUCACUUUUCAUUCUACUAAUGUACACAACUCUACACUGCCCUUCCCCGACUCCUAACCAAACGUGGUAUUUUAGAUUGGGCAAACAGCUCAUUAAUGUGAACAGUCAUUAAUCACUAGGCGCAGACUGACCAGAGCACAAGACUACUGAUCUGGGAGGGCAUCGCUGAAACGUGGGAAGUACUUAAUAAAGGGUUCUUUUUAUCUUAUUACAUCUUAUCUAUCUCUACGCUUGUGAGCAUUAGGUGUUCAAGAAAGAUAAGCAGAAAGAAGACAUGGGGCGAAGAAGGGUUGGAUGGAUGGCUUAGGGGUCUGUAUUUUAUCUUCAAUUCUUCAUUUUCUUCUUCCACAACUUAAUUCCUUUUAUUGCCUCUCUUUUUGUCCAACCCCAGUAUUUAUUCCUCCCCUACUAAAAUAUCUAAUAUAUAUGUUUUAUUACCUGGCAUGUGAGAAGUCCCACCAUCAGAGCCAGAAGACUGUGCAUUUUGGAGGCCAGCUGAGAAGCUCUUUUUAUAUCUGCAGGAUUCAGCCUCUCUUCACAAGUUUUGAAGAAAUUUUCAUAUGGAAG
rnacentral:lncRNA from 1 species